rnacentral:rRNA from 1 species
GACGAACGCUGGCGGCGUGCUUAACACAUGCAAGUCGAACGGAAAGGCCCUGCUUUUGUGGGGUGCUCGAGUGGCGAACGGGUGAGUAACACGUGAGUAACCUGCCCUUGACUUUGGGAUAACUUCAGGAAACUGGGGCUAAUACCGGAUAGGAGCUCCUGCUGCAUGGUGGGGGUUGGAAAGUUUCGGCGGUUGGGGAUGGACUCGCGGCUUAUCAGCUUGUUGGUGGGGUAGUGGCUUACCAAGGCUUUGACGGGUAGCCGGCCUGAGAGGGUUACCGGCCCCAUUGGGACUGUGAUACGGCCCAGACUCCUACGGGAGGCAGCAGUGGGGAAUAUUGCACAAUGGGCGGAAGCCUGAUGCAGCAGCGCCGCGUGCGGGAUGACGGCCUUCGGGUUGUAAACCGCUUUCGCCUGUGACGAAGCGUGAGUGACGGUAAUGGGUAAAGAAGCACCGGCUAACUACGUG